rnacentral:rRNA from 1 species
UUUAAUUCGAAGCAACGCGAAGAACCUUACCAAAUCUUGACAUCCUUUGACAACUCUAGAGAUAGAGCCUUCCCCUUCGGGGGACAAAGUGACAGGUGGUGCAUGGUUGUCGUCAGCUCGUGUCGUGAGAUGUUGGGUUAAGUCCCGCAACGAGCGCAACCCUUAAGCUUAGUUGCCAUCAUUAAGUUGGGCACUCUAAGUUGACUGCCGGUGACAAACCGGAGGAAGGUGGGGAUGACGUCAAAUCAUCAUGCCCCUUAUGAUUUGGGCUACACACGUGCUACAAUGGACAAUACAAAGGGCAGCGAAACCGCGAGGUCAAGCAAAUCCCAUAAAGUUGUUCUCAGUUCGGAUUGUAGUCUGCAACUCGACUACAUGAAGCUGGAAUCGCUAGUAAUCGUAGAUCAGCAUGCUACGGUGAAUACGUUCCCGGGUCUUGUACACACCGCCCGUCACACCACGAGAGUUUGUAACACCCGAAGCCGGUGGAGUAACCUUUUAGGAGCUAGCCGUCGAA